rnacentral:rRNA from 1 species
GACGAACGCUGGCGGCGUGCUUAACACAUGCCAGUCGAACGGAAAGGCCCUGCUUGCAGGGUACUCGAGUGGCGAACGGGUGAGUAACACGUGGGUGAUCUGCCCUGCACUUCGGGAUAAGCUUGGGAAACUGGGUCUAAUACCGGAUAGGAACCAUCUUUAGUGUGGUGGUUGGAAAGUUUUUUCGGUGUAGGAUGAGCUCGCGGCCUAUCAGCUUGUUGGUGGGGUAAUGGCCUACCAAGGCGGCGACGGGUAGCCGGCCUGAGAGGGUGUACGGCCACAUUGGGACUGAGAUACGGCCCAGACUCCUACGGGAGGCAGCAGUGGGGAAUAUUGCACAAUGGGCGCAAGCCUGAUGCAGCGACGCCGCGUGGGGGAUGAAGGCCUUCGGGUUGUAAACUCCUUUCGCUAGGGACGAAGCUUUUUGUGACGGUACCUAGAUAAGAAGCACCGGCUAACUACGUG